rnacentral:rRNA from 1 species
UACGGAGGGUGCGAGCGUUGUUCGGAAUUACUGGGCGUAAAGCGCGUGCAGGCGGCCGAUUAAGUCCGGUGUGAAAGCCCGGGGCUCACCCCCGGAAGUGCGCUGGAAACUGGUCGGCUAGAGUACGGGAGAGGGAAGCGGAAUUCCUGGUGUAGCGGUGAAAUGCGUAGAUAUCAGGAGGAACACCGGCGGCGAAGGCGGCUUCCUGGACCGAUACUGACGCUGAGACGCGAAAGCGUGGGGAGCAAACAGG